UACAAUAUAUUGACAUGUCAUAUAUGCAGUGCUCAUGGACUGAAGGUUUUCAUGAUAUUAUCAUGUCAUGCUCCUAAAGUACGACAAUUAUUUACCCUUUUGAUUGCCUCUUGGUGUCAUUUGUAUUUUUUAUUCUGUUCACUGUUUUUUUGCCUCUUAGCGGAUUCACUUAUUAUUUAGGUCACUAAUACAGUCUGAAAUGCACACUUGACAUUGAUUUCUGAAUAUCUAUACUAUAAUGCUAGUAAAUUUAUCACGGUGUUGAUGUAAUUUUGAUUAUGAUUCAUUGAUGUUUCCAUCUCACAAAACUGAAUACCUUUAAAUAUAGUACUCCUUCUGGUCUGGUUUAUAAGGCAUAGUCUGACAUGACACAGUCUUCUAAAGUAUACUUUGACCAUUCAUUUAUGUUAUAUUAUAUUGUGUAUGAUUUUAAACUUAUGAUCCUUGGAUAGUAUAUCUGAUUACAAAUCUAAUAGUAUCAAGUUUGUAUUACAAUAAUUAAAAAUGUUUGUCAAAUUAUUGGUCAAAGUUUAUAAAGUUUGAUUGUUGACAUAUACAUAAAAUUCCUUAUAAACUGGAGCGGAGGGAGUAAUUAUUGAAUUUUGAUUUUUUUUACUACAUGCUUUUGGGAUGACAUAAAUUUUGGACCAGAGUUAUGGGACAAGUACUGAUGGCACGCAUGUAGUCUUAACUACUUGAUAUGAUGUAGAAAAAUAACUUAAGCUGACAGUAUAGGUAUCAUAUUUUGAAUUAGACAAGUCUUGAUGCUGCAUGAUUACUACCUCAG
rnacentral:lncRNA from 7 species